rnacentral:rRNA from 1 species
GACGAACGCUGGCGGCGUGCCUAAUACAUGCAAGUCGAACGAACCGCGACUAGGUGCUUGCACUUGGUCAAGGUGAGUGGCGAACGGGUGAGUAACACGCGGGUAACCUACCUCAUAGUGGGGGAUAACAGUCGGAAACGACUGCUAAUACCGCAUAGGACAUAGGAUCACAUGAUUCUGUGAGGAAAGGUGGCGCAAGCUAUCGCUAAGAGAUGGACCCGCGGUGCAUUAGCUAGUUGGUAGGGUAAAGGCCUACCAAGGCGAUGAUGCAUAGCCGACCUGAGAGGGUGAUCGGCCACAUUGGGACUGAGACACGGCCCAAACUCCUACGGGAGGCAGCAGUAGGGAAUCUUCCGCAAAGGACGCAAGUCUGACGGAGCAACGCCGCGUGAGUGAAGAAGGUCUUCGGAUCGUAAAGCUCUGUUGUUAGAGAAGAACAGCGCAUAGAGUAACUGUUAUGCGUGUGACGGUAUCUAACCAGAAAGCCACGGCUAACUACGUG